rnacentral:rRNA from 6 species
AAAUUGAAGAGUUUGAUCAUGGCUCAGAUUGAACGCUGGCGGCAGGCCUAACACAUGCAAGUCGAACGGUAACAGGAAGCAGCUUGCUGCUUUGCUGACGAGUGGCGGACGGGUGAGUAAUGUCUGGGAAACUGCCUGAUGGAGGGGGAUAACUACUGGAAACGGUGGCUAAUACCGCAUAACGUCGCAAGACCAAAGAGGGGGACCUUCGGGCCUCUUGCCAUCAGAUGU